rnacentral:lncRNA from 1 species
AUACAUAAUCAGACAUUUCAGACCUAAAGAUUAUGUAAUGUAACGAGCAACCUAAGAACUAAAGGGAUACAUUCAAUAGUUACUGAAGGUGAUACAUAAUCAGACCUAAAGAUUAUGUAAUGUAACGAGCAACCUAAGAACUAAAGGGAUACAUUCAAUAGUUACUGAAGGUCAGAUUUUAAACACGAUAAAUAUGCAGAAUAGAUGUGAUAGGCCAUGAGAGAAAAGUAUGACAGAAGAAUGCAUCAACCCAAGUUUGACAAAACACUUUUCUUAAAACACUUGAGAAAUUUGACAAAAUGCCACACCUUUCUUUGUACUUUGCCUCAAAUGCACACCUUUCAUUGUGUUAGACAAAAUAGCACACCUUUCUUUGACACCUUGAUAAAACACCAUUUUUUAUUCUUUAAAUCACUUUUCAAACUCAAACCCACAUGUCAUGAUUUUCUGGACCAAAUCACCCCUGCCAAUUUAGAUCGAUCGAUCCAUCUUCUCAUAUCCAACGAACCACAAGAACAG